UCAAUUGCUUAAAAAGAAAUGAUAAGUCUACAACUCAAAAAGGGUUGUAGAAUUACAACCUUCAAUUUAAGGAUUGUAAUCUCAAUACUUGAAUUUAUGCAAUCAAUUUUAACGACUCGACCGGCUAGCAAUAAUAAUUCGUUGAACCCAAACCACCGGACCAAAAUGUUUAAGCCCAAUUAUUAUUAUUAGUGUCUAUAAUCUCAUAUAUAUCUACUAACAACUCCAUUCUCAUUUGAUAUGGGACUUUUGGGAUGUCACAUACUUUUCUAUUUGAGUUUUAACAUCCUCCUAAGCCCAAUCACACAUAUAGCCCAAGAUUACAACUAUUUGGGCUCUGACGUCCUCGUCAGCCCAAUGACACAUUAUAGUCCAAGAUUACUAGGCGAUGUGAGACUUGUCUCGCUAAUUUUGUCAUUCUGAUCCCUUGCUUAGCCUAUCACUUUGUCAUUCCAAUUCUGACUUAACCUGUCAUUUCGAUCCUGACUCAGCCAAGACUCAUCUCAUACUUCCGGCUGGUGAUCGGCUUUAAUACCAAAUGUAUCAGCAUGAUUGGCUAGCAAUAAUAACUCGUUGGAUGCAAACUACUGACCCAAAAUGUUUAAGCCCAAUUAUUAUUACUAGUGUCCAUGAUAUUAUAUCUACUCAAUAACAACCUCAUUCACAUCCGAUGUAGGACUAUUGAAGUGCCACAUUUUUUUUAGAUUUUAAUAUAUUAAAAGAAAAUAGAGUGAUAUGAAUAGUAAGAACUGAUUAUAAAGUUUUUCUUUCAAUCUAUAUUUCGUUUUUUUCUAAUAUUAAAAUAAAAAAAAAGAUUGUAUAAAUCUUACGGAUUGUUGAUACCAAAAAAUUAACACGCCGACCUAACCCACAUAUGAGCCAAAGAAAUAAGGACACGUGGUACACCAGUAGUCGGCAAUAAGGCGCCUGAAGUUCAAGAGCAUUUAGGCGGGAAUGAUUGAGAAGUGGGACGUAACUUUCAUGAGAAGUGGGGCGUAAUUUCCAUGAUCAUGGCUACACCACUUCCUCCACCACUAUAACCAACCAAUAAUGUGGACUGAUAAAAUAUUAUAAAUAGUAACUUUGAAGCCUGUCACGCCCCGAGCCCGAUCCUUUUUGGCCGGUUCGAGAGCGUCAAACAGACGCCGAACGGACAGAGCUUCCCCUGUCCGCCCAAGGCUCAACACUAGUAUCAAUAGAGUACAAAUUUGCAUAAGCGGAAGCAUACACAAUGGCUUGCACGAGGACAAGCAAUAGCCAAGGUGAAAGAAUUAACCAUUAAGUAUACAAGUAAUAUGACUAAAUUUAAAUCACAUACAUGUAUCCACUAUAACCAAGUUCUGUCACAUUCUUGCAUCAUUUCUUUUUACAUCUCAUUUCUCCCAAAAUAUAACUUUUGACAUUUAAAGUAAAUAUUCUUUACAUCAUUCAUUAAAGCAAGUUCAUAAUACUAAAAUCAUCAAAUACAAAAGAUGAUAGUAAAGGGUGUGCAACUACAAAAUGAAAUCCAUCUCGGGCGGUCUCUACCUAGGGCGCGAUGCCCUUACCGCGAUCAUCUGCCGGCUCGCUCGGUCCCGGCUCUGUGGAAAUAGUGGGGUGAGAACUACAACAAAGUUCCCAGUGGGUUCGGCAACCAACCACGCCGACUAUCCCACUAGGUCUAAUCAGGCAUAAUAGAAGAAAGAAUAGAUAAUAACCAACUAACAAAUGCAGCUAAUAUGCCUGAACAAUAAAUAAAACUAUGCUCGAUAGAAUGCUCAUGAUGAAUGCAAGAUUAACUUUUCAUUACCCAAUCUCAUGGCUAGCCCGUAGGUUUCGCCCUCACAAACUCACCAACCCAAAUCCCUAUUGUCGGGGAGAUAACCGCUACAACCCGACGGGACCGCCCUCUGGGGAGAUAACCGCUACGACCCAGUGAUGACAACUCCGGAGCACAUCGCCCGAGGGGGAGCUACCGCCCUCGAGCAAGGACUAUUAGGUGAGUACGAUCAAUCCUUAACUUUAAGGAUUUUAAGUUCAAUCCAUUCCUUGACUUCAAGGAGAACCAUGUACAUAUGACCCUUAAUUCUAAGGUGUUUAUGUCAUAAUGUCACUACUUGUUCUUGUUCUUUGUCAAUGAUGCCACACUUGUUUUCUAAGUCCUCUAGACUCAUCAAUGUCACUUGCUAAAUCUAUGUCAACAUGUCACAUUUGUUUACUAACCCUUCUAGGUUCUUGUCCCUUGUCAUGCAUAUAUAGGGUUACCAAUUCUCAUUCAUUUACUACUAUUUCUCAAGCAUUAGAACUCAUAUCAUGCAAAGAAAAUUUACAAUUAACCCUACUAUGCAACAUGCUCAAUAUAAAUACAUAUGCUCAAAUAUGACGCUUUAGACAUAAAGGGAUUUCCGAUGUCCUUGGAAUGCACCACCCACCUUAGAUGGUCACAAGGAUGCUACGGUGAAUUUCUUGGAAUUUUUGAAGCCCUAGUCCGCGUGCUGCGGCUAUCUGUACGGAAAAUGACGUUUUUGUUAAUAACUUUGCGUACACUCGUCGGAUUGUCGAACCGAGCGUUCCAACGCGUUUAAAAUACCCUCAAUUAGGUUUCUACAUGAUCAAAAUAGAUCAAAACCCAACUUGGGCAAAACCCCUCUUUGGGAUGCCCUAACAUGUUAUUUUUGCAUUUCUCCGAGAUUGAUCUCAUUCCUAAGCAAAAGAUAGCUUAGAUUCACAUGGGAAGCUCUCUAAUAAGGUUUCUAAGCUUUUAGAACCAUCCCUAGGGCAUCUACUUUGAGCCCUAGUGAUCCACCAUGAGAGGGGUCUAAGAAAUCCAUGUUUUUCAUGGAGUCAUGGUCCUUAGAGGAUUUCCUCACUUGUAGAGAGAUCAAAACCCAAAAAUCUAAGGUCUAAACCCAAACCCUAAACUCAUUUUUGCAUAAGGACUCACCUUUGCCCAAGCUCCACCAAAGCCUACUUGUUGGAGAGCUUCUAGGACCACCAAAGCCACCAAAAUCCACUUCUCCAAGCUCUUCUCCACCUUCUCCAAGCUCUAGGGCUUGCUUUCUAGAGAGAGAAAGAGAGGAAAAUGAGAGAGAGGGUGAAAUGGGUGUUGGCUGUGAGGGGAAGGGGUAUUGGGCUAUUAACAUGUUGUAACAUUUGCCAAAAAACCCUCCCAAUCUUUAUAUUUUGCAGCAGACCUCGUUUUGCUGUCGGGCCCAAAGUGUACCGGUACACUUUUUCGUGUCACCGGUUACACGACUACGCAUAGGCAAACCCGAGAGCAGAUCUGUCAGUUUCGCCCAAAGUGUACCGGUACACUUUUUCGUGUCACCGGUUUCAGCAUGUGUAACCGGUGACAGGUCGCUUGCUGUACCGGUACACAUUGCUCCAGACCUGAUUUUGGUUCCGUUUCGAUUCUAUUUUGCGCCGAUCGAUGCCAAAACCCUUCUAACACUUCUAGAACUCAUUUUUAACCCUCCCAACAGUGUUGGUAGGUUAAUUGGAACUCGCCCAAUUAAUCCAUUCGCGCACUUUAGUCAGUUUGCCUAAAGUUCGUCAUUUUCUAUCUAGGUUUCAAUACGUUACAAAGCCUGUAAAAAAUGUCUUUCUCUCCCCUGAACGAGAAGACCACCACAUUUUCAAUACAUUUCCUUUCUUGCAUUUAUCGUUUUCUAGGAGUAGUCUACAUGUAAUCUUUUUCACCCGCAU
rnacentral:lncRNA from 1 species